rnacentral:sRNA from 1 species
AGGAGGAGGAGGAGCCUGGAGCUGCCUUUAUCUUUGUAAGAGCCUAGCAGAUUGGAAUAUUUGUUAUGUUAAGGCCAUGCAGGCUUAACGAAGCGUCAAGUUCUUUGCUGGAAUUUUAACCAGAACCAGCCCUGUUAACAAUCCUGCCCAGCGGCUGGGAGCCUGACUGUGUGGAAGAAAGAGCACUGGGCCAAGAGUUCAAAGUCCAGGACUCAGCGCUGGCCUGUCUCUUCCUUCCUGGCCCCCUCUGGGGGCUGCAAAGCCAGCCCCACUCAGAGUAAAGGUCUCUGCGACUAUCCAGGCUGGAGCCUCACUUCUGUUCGCCCUAAAUUGCUUUUAUCAACUUGAGGAUGGGACAGCUCAGGCUUGCCUCUGUGGGCCACCUCCCUCUGCUGUCCCAGCGUGAUCAUGGGCACCUUUCCCCAGGUCCUCUAGUCUUGCUUAGGCAGCCAGCUGCCACCUGUGUGAGGGGUGGCUGGGCGUGCUGCCCGGAGCUGAGGAGAACCUGUCCCUGAGGAAAUGGCCCAGGCCUUCUUGUUCAGCCAGAAAUUCCAGCCUUUGAAGGAUCCGGGCGGAGAGGGGCCUUUUCUAGGCUGCUUUUCUAGAGCUGUUUUUCCAGCCUGGCAUUAGCACCCAGCCUUAAAGAAAACUUCCCUGGUCUUUAAUUGGGUUUUCUGGAAAGGUGUUGGCCUUCGCCACCUUGUAGGGAGGUUCUGUCCCCCACACCCUCCCCCCCACAAAGUUUUUGGGAAGGAAGGAUCUCUGGUUGGCUGGGAACUUGCAAUGUAGUCCCAGAUGGCCUUGAACUUCUGACUAUCCUCCUGACUCAGCCUUCCAAGGGCUGGGAUUGCAGAUAUGUGCUACCACCACCUGUUUAGGAAUACUUCUUAAAAUCAGCUUUAUUGAGGUCUACUUGCACAUAUGUAUCCAUUUGAGGCACGCUGACCAAUGAUGGAUACAUGUGUCUGUGUAGGUGCCAUGUGGAUCAAGUCAUAGAGCAUUUUUGACAUCUUACAAGUUUCCCUCAUGGCUACUGCUCGAUCACUAGGAUCCCCACUCCAGGCAACCAGGUUCACUACAGACCUGCUCAAAUGUCUCAUGUUCCUCACGGUGCACCUGCGAGUCAUCCACAACAUUGCAUGGAAAGAAAGAAAGCAACAAGAAGACUCCAUAAAAAUGGAAGUCAAAACACACGGGUCAAAGACCGAUAGGAUAAAAAGAAGAACCAAAAGUCUGCAGAAGCACCACAGAGUUCAUUUUGUGUUGGCUAACUAUACUCGGGCAUGGGGCUUGCUCCCUAGAGUUUGAUUGAUACACCCAGUGACCCUCCGCUAGGGAAAAGAAGGCAUCAAUGGCAGCCUCCUGACUGCUGGGGUAUUUGUUUCAUUUCCUAAGAAACUGUGCAACUGUUUCCAGAAGUGACUGUACCACCUACAAGUGGGAAGGGACCAUGACUGUAACAUCCCUGCCCAGAUCCUGACCUUUUCUCUGCCUGAGACCAAGCAGGGAGUUUUGGUCAAGGCUGCCCACACUGAGUUCCUCCAAAUUGUGCAGUGCCCUUCCUGAGACAUCAGCUUCCUUUUGAGUCAAUGAUGGUUAGAGAACGGUUUCUUCAAGGAAGGUUCUGGGACCUGUGGCUCACUACUCACAGACAGCUUAGCUGUGGGUCUCUGAACCUGCUUCCUGUCUUUAUUAUAAUCUUUAGUUCACCCUUCAGGAAGAGCAACCCACUACAAAUUAAAGCCAAUGAAAGGAAAGGAUGGCUACCAACAAAUGAUGCAAAUACCACUGAGCUCAAAGAUCUCUGGCGAGAUGAGCCUGCGGCUGAUCACAGCUCCAGCUGUCUCUGUCAUCCUUAAGAUGCUUGCCCCACCCCUUGUGGCACCUGUCUUCCUUCAGUGGCUCAGCAGCCUAUUGUCAUUACCAGUCACGAUUCAAGUUCCUCGGGUUCAGAAAGCAUGCCAUACCCAGGCAAGCCCCGCCCCCAGCCUCCUCUGCCUUUUGGUAGGGCCAACCCUACUCUCUGUGCCAUCGAGCCCUGAACAGAGCUUCUGGAAUCCAGCCGUCAGGAGCAGGGCCUCCCUUCCACAACCCUUCCCAAACUCUCCUCUGAGCCACCCCCUUUUUGCUCUGGGUCUCUCUUCUCCUGUGAUCUUCUUCUCCUCCCCACCCCCUUGCCCUUUGGCUGUCCUUGUAUGUAUGACGAAAAUAUUCUGGAAAGGGCUCUGCUGGGCACUUGGGCACUGGGGUGAGACUCCCAUCAUGAUUGGAAGCUUCCACAGCCUUUGGAUUUUGUUUAUCCUGGUCAUUCCUUUUCUUCCUUCCUUCUUUUCUCUCCUUCCUUCCUUUCUCUCCUUCCUUCCUUCCUUCCUUCCUUCCUUCCUUCCUUCCUUCUUUCUAAAGAUGAGAAACUAGAUAGGGGUUGCAGGCCUUGCUGUCUGUCUGCCCUUGGCUCCUCUGCCCUACCCCCCAUCUCUAACAACAUGCUUGUUGAUGACUAUUAAAGUUGGGCUUGGUUUCUGGCAAUCCACCCACAGAACUGAACUGGUGUGGGUCCCUGGCAGGUAGGAAGGCACCUUUGACCUUUAGCUGUCCCUCAGAACCUUCACAUCUCUAACACAGCAGUCCCAGAAGACAGUGAGCUCCCUUGAGGGCUGAGGUAGUCCGUGUUCUGGCUUGCUCUUCACUCAGCAGUGAACUCUAGGCUUGCCAUUCCUUUGGAUCAAGGCUUUCCAUUCAGUUCUGGUGUCAUCCAGCUCUCUGACUUCCCAAAUGGGCACCAAGAUGGCUCAUCCACUGGGAUGCUACUGUCCUGCCAACUCCGAGUGUCCUCACAAGGCUCUUGGCCUGGUCUCCAGGGAAGCCAGGCUGGAAGCCCAGUGAAAGAAUGGAAGAAACC